GCGAAAACUUUACAAUGCUGGCAACAGCGAUAAGGGAACCUCGAGUGCCAGGUUACAAAUCUGGCUGUCGAGAUGCCUAAAAAGCAUUUCAUAGCAAGGGCCGGGCAAGACCGGUGCCAGCCGCCGCGGUAACACCGGCGGCUCGAGUGGUAACCGUUAUUAUUGGGCCUAAAGGGUCUGUAGCCGGCCGGAUAAGUCUCUUGAGAAAUCUGGCAGCUUAACUGUCAGGCUUUCAGGAGAUACUGUCUGGCUCGAGACCGGGAGAGGUGAGAGGUACUUCAGGGGUAGGGGUGAAAUCUUGUAAUCCUUGAAGGACCACCAGUGGCGAAGGCGUCUCACCAGAACGGACCUGACGGCAAGGGACGAAAGCUAGGGGCACGAACC
rnacentral:rRNA from 1 species